rnacentral:rRNA from 1 species
GACGAACGCUGGCGGCGUGCCUACUACAUGCAAGUCGAGCGAAGCGGCGGAUGGGUGAGUAACGCGUGGGUAACCUGCCCGUAAGUCAGGGAUACCAUUUGAAAACAGAUGCUAAUUCCGGAUACUAAAGGACGGACCUGUGAUGCAUUGGCUAGUUGGUAAGGUAACGGCUUACCAAGGCGAUGAUGCAUAGCCGAGUUUAGAGACUGAUCGGCCACAUUGGGACUGAGACACGGCCCAAACUCCUACGGGAGGCAGCAGUAGGGAAUCUUCCACAAUGGACGAAAGUCUGAUGGAGCAACGCCGCGUGAUUGAAGAAGGUUUUCGGAUCGUAAAGCUCUGUUGUUGGUGAAGCGGUAAUCAACCAGAAAGUCACGGCUAACUACGUGCCAGCAGCCGCGGUAAUAC